rnacentral:rRNA from 1 species
AGACGUAGGGGGCAAGCGUUGUCCGGAAUCAUUGGGCGUAAAGGGCGUGUAGGUGGAUUUUUAAGUCGUGUGUCUAAGUGCGGGGCUCAACCCCGUAUGGGCGCAGGAAACUGGAAAUCUUGAGUGCAGGAGAGGAAAGUGGAAUUCCCAGUGUAGCGGUGAAAUGCGUAGAUAUUGGGAGGAACACCAGUGGCGAAGGCGAUUUUCUGGACUGUGUCUGACACUGAGGCGCGAAAGCCAGGGGAGC